AUUGAACGCUGACGGCAUGCCUUACACAUGCAAGUCGAACGGCAGCACGGGUGCUUGCACCUGGUGGCGAGUGGCGAACGGGUGAGUAAUACAUCGGAACGUACCUUAUCGUGGGGGAUAACGCAGCGAAAGCUGUGCUAAUACCGCAUACGCCCUGAGGGGGAAAGUGGGGGAUCGAAAGACCUCGCGCGACUAGAGCGGCCGAUGCCUGAUUAGCUUGUUGGUGGGGUAAAAGCCCACCAAGGAGACGAUCAGUAGCUGGUCUGAGAGGACGAUCAGCCAGACUGGGACUGAGACACGGCCCAGACUCCGACGGGAGGCAGCAGUGGGGAAUUUUGGACAAUGGGGGCAACCCUGACCCAGCAAUGCCGCGUGAGUGAAGAAGGCCUUCGGGUUGUAAAGCUCUUUUGUCAGGGAAGAAACACCGGCUCUAACACAGUCCGGGAAUGACGGUACCUGAAGAAUAAGCACCGGCUAACUACGUGCCAGCAGCCGCCGUAA
rnacentral:rRNA from 1 species